CAGAGGGUGAAAGAGAGCCGGGCCACAAACGGGGAACCGGGACGUGAGGGCCAACCAGAGAGAGCGUAAUAAGGAGAAUUGCUAGGAAAGGAUUGGGGGUGAAGCUGGCGGUGAACAUGAGGCGCCUGCUUCUACCUCUGUCCCUUAUGAAGUCUGUCUGCCAGCGGAGACCCUGAGUCACUGCGCCCUCAGGAUCCGCUAUCGAUGAGUAGCGAAAAAGCAAGAAAGGAGCAAAAGCGCUGUUCCCUCGCUGGCUUCACUUUUCCCACUCGCGGCUGCUUUUGCAGCUAGAGACGUACAUCGCUCUCCUUCGCCUGACUCUGCGGCCCACCCAGGACCCGCAACUGUGACAUAACGCAGCAGGGUUAGGACCCUGCAGCUGGCCAGACGCUGACUGCAGCGUCUGACCCUGACCACGAGUUUGAGGGAGGUGGCUGUCCUUUCUCUGGAGGACAUCCGAGCACUAGCCCGUAGACACUUGUGGCCUCCCCAGCCCACCCCCGAGGACUCUCUCCAAGAGCUUGGCGUCUCCACCGCUCACCAGGAAGGGGUGCAGGAGAGGAAAGAGCCUCAAGUUUGGCAGAAUAAGUUGAGGGAGAGGAUUAAGUGAUGUUGGGGCUUUGGCAGAGAGGUACAUUGUGGUUCUUCGGAUCAGAUCAACAUCCGGUCAUUCCUGCAGGGCGCUCCGUUGCAGGGAGGCCCAGCUGAGCAUGCUAGCUCUUCGGACCAGUGUCUCCUAGGUCACCCUUGGGCAAAGAACGAGAGCGGGAACCAGGAGAGCUCCGGCUUCUCGGGGCUUCUGGGCCUGAGGCUUCCUAGAUUCUACUCAGGCAAUACAGUUGCGCUCUGAUGGGCGCGCAAACGCGCCGGGACGCAUCUCCGCCGGCUUGGAGACCAGGAGAUCCUUGGCGACUAACUUUUCCGGCUUUGGGCUCAGGAC